CAUCACUCAGACUCUCUCCUGGAGAUCAUAGUCACCAAGAAGGUGGAGUCAAAGACUUCAAACCCUCUUUCAUUGCUUUGUCACAGGAAGAGACUUAGUUUUAAGGAUGCUCAGAGCUUUGCUAAUUUCAUUUCCCAGGGAGCUCUUGUUUACAGCUAAACAAGGAGCAGGUCUCCAUCCUAUUUCUGAUACAAGCCAGAUUUCGCGGUCUAUUCUUGUGAAUGAUGAUAGACAUUCUGGCCACCUCGAGUACAACCAUAUUGUCUCUGCACAGAUGAAGCAGGUGCAUGAACUUUCUCCUUUCUUCACAAAACAGAGAAAUGGAUUCAAUGUCUCCUUUCAAAAACAGAUUUAAUAUAUAUCCCAGACAAUCGUUUUUCACGGCAUUAGUCGGCAGUUUGUGAAGUUGAUUUUGUAAGGGAUAUGAUAAGCCUGGUUGAUUUGUAAGGUAAAGGUCCAAAACAACCAUCAAGAAGGACUUUGAAUGAGCUGGGUAUAGAUUAUCCAAUAUUUUCAUUAAACAACAAUAUCACAUUAAUCAGCUGAGGAAUAGCAAUAGCUUCAGAUUACUCGCUAUUUUGAGCAAAUCAAUACUGGCUUAACAAGGUUAUACUGUAAUGGAUAUGAAACAAGUAUUUGUUAAAGCUCCAAUCUGGAAUGGGGAGGGUUGUGAAAGAAACCCAGGACUGCCAAAUCUAAACUAGCCAUUCGUCUUAGCCCAUGGGAUCAAACCUAGGCCAAUAUGUGUCUUCAUCAUGGAAUCAUAGAAAUUGAAGAACUUUUGUAGCCAUCUAGUCUAUUCUCUACCUGCAAAGAUUCCAUACUCAAACAUAUCAGAUAAUCCAAUCUUUAUCUGAUGACUGCUGAUGAUGGAAAUCUACCACCUCUUGAGGGACAUUCUGCUUUCUAAUAUUUAGAAAUUCUCCCUCAGUGUCAAACCUAAAUGAGACUUUAUGCAACUUCCUGUUAUUACAAGUUCUGCCUUCUGGAUCCAAAUAGAACAAGUAUAAUUCCCCUCCCUCAAAGCAGCCCUUCAAACAUUUAAAGAUAGCUAGCACGUCCUACCUGAAGCUUCUCUUUUGUAGAUUAGAUAUCCCUAGUUCUUUCAAUGAAUCCUCAUAUGAUACAGAUUUUUUGCUAGUCAUCAUGCAUAUUAUCCUUCUCUGGAUGCUUUUCAACUUUUAAGUGUGAAGCUUAGGGAAUGAUAUGUAAGGAACUUUGGGCAGUCACUUUGUUCAAAGACAGACAUUAUCUUUUAUUGAACCAAAUAACUGAAGAAAAUACUGUUUUCAUAUCUUCAUUAAUACACUUAAUUGGGGAUUAUUUCUCCCAGGAGUCAUUGUGCUUUUUCUAAAUCAGAAAGCACAUAUGCAGUUUUUAUAAAGUAGCUAUUUAAUAAACCAUGAAUCAAUUCAGUGGAGUGAUGAUUG
rnacentral:lncRNA from 1 species